UACGGAGGGAGCUAGCGUUAAUCGGAAUUACUGGGCGUAAAGCGUGCGCAGGCGGUUUUGUAAGUCUGUCGUGAAAGCCCCGGGCUCAACCUGGGAAUUGCGAUGGAGACUGCAAGGCUAGAAUCUGGCAGAGGGGGGUAGAAUUCCACGUGUAGCAGUGAAAUGCGUAGAGAUGUGGAGGAACACCGAUGGCGAAGGCAGCCCCCUGGGUCAAGAUUGACGCUCAUGCACGAAAGCGUGGGGAGCAAACAGG
rnacentral:rRNA from 1 species